rnacentral:lncRNA from 1 species
UUUGAAGGUCCAGUUAAAACGACCCAAGGAUGCUAACCAUCCCUACUGAUGGCAGCGAGCAAGCAGGAGUCACUUCUGCAGCACAGGUGAAGGGAAAGUCCAGAGGAAGAAUUUCUGCUUCAGGUUGAUUUACAGAGGCCAGUAAAUUUAUCAACUCUUUUGACACCACCCCUUUCCUUCCUCUGCUCCCCACCUACCCACCCCAUCCUCCU